AUGGCUGGGAGUGUCCACAAUUACCAGGCAAAAAGUGCUGCAGAACGAGCAAAGCAAAGACACCUGAGCCCACUCAAGAAGACCAGGGAAAAAAGAGGCUCCGCGUCCACACCCGGGCGCGGAUUCUUACAAUUGCCCUGUGCCCUUGCAGUCUCAGUGUCUUUGCUCAGCACUUGUGUCUUGCCUGUCCUGGUAUUUUGACCCUUGCCUGUUCCCUGUUUGACCACCGAGUCUGGAUUGUCUGCCUUGCCACAUUUGCCCCUGGAUAGACCCACGCCUGUUCUUGACUCUGAUCUUGCCUUGUCCCUUGAACCUGAUCCACGAGAUUAAAGAUCAACCCGCAAUUGGGUCCACAAACUCACCUGCGUCCAGUCCUCAUGUCUGCCACUUUUUCACACAGCCUGCUAUAUGUAUGUAUUUAUGUACGUAUCUAUCUGUCUGUCCGUCUAUGUCACUGAUUAAUUAAAGCCUUUCCAAAUGGGGCUGUGCUGUUCCUUUAUUUCAUUUCAUAGCACUUGUGAUGAAUGAUGUUUACAAGCAAUGGCAGAAACUGGUAAUGAGAACACUUGUCUGCCUCUCUCUUUCCAGCCAGUGACUCUGUGGUACUGAGCCCUCUUUCUUCCACAUUACUGCCAAUGUAUGAUGUUCCAUGGCAAACGAGGACCCAUUUCAAACAACGUCUGCAUGAUUUAGAGCUGUGACAGGCCCGGUCACGGGCAGAAGUCAUCUCUGCUGCAAAAGUUCAUCCCGAGCAGCGUAUUUAUUGUGUCUGUGAACGGCUGUCAGGAGCAGCCCAGUACAGAACACUCUGGAGCACAAGUGAAAAGCACCUCUGUCUAGGCCAAGAGCCAUCAUGAUGCCUUUAGUGUGUGUGACAGGGUCAGUCAUGACCUCAGCUCUUAAUACAGUGUGUUAUUUAGGUGCUGAGAAGCUCAACCCAUCACUGCCCAUUGAAAGUACACACACACACACACACAUUUUCAGAACCGCUUGUCCUUUACGGGGUCACGGGGAACCGGAGCCUACCCGGCAACACAGGGCGUAAGGCCGGAGGGGGAAGGGGACACACCCAGGACGGGACGCCAGUCCGCCGCAAGGCACCCCAAGCGGGACUUGAACCCCAGACCCACCGGAGAGCAGGACUGCGGUCCAACCCACUGCGCCACCGC
rnacentral:lncRNA from 1 species